ensembl:lncRNA
UGCCAUCAUUCUGUGUCUAAAAAUUAAGGAGGGUGACUCUGAGAUUCCUUGUGCUGCUGUAAAAAACACAGACCUAAGGGACAGUCUCUCAGUAAAGUCAGUUUAGAUGCUUCUCACACAAAAAACUGCAGUUCAUGUGCCAACAACUACAUCCUACCCUUCUGUUGAAAGGUGUAAGUGGGGCAGAAUGUAGGAUGUGGAGAGACAGCAGAUUUUAAAACGUUACCGGAUCACUUGCUGUAAUUAACUGUACCUCCCUGUGGGGUCUGUAGCCUCCUUUUAUCCUGCCCACUAAUCUUUUUUCUUUUUCUUAAAUCUCCCUCCCUACUUAUUUUCCUUCGUGUCAGUAAUACAAAAGAAAAAUAAAAACAUCUUUAAAACAACAAUUUCUGAAUCACAAUCCCUGUAAGCAGAACUGCUCUUCUGCAUUUUCUCCUUCCAACUAGCUGUUUUUCCCCAGAGAUGUACAAAAUCAAGACACGUGGGGAAGGGAGACAAAAGAGAAAAAGAAAGCAUUUGUGCAGAGGAUAGACCCAAAAAUCAGAACCAUGCCAUGGAAAAUCGUUACAGCUGUUUCUGUUUUUAUUGACUGUUUCUUUUGGAUUCAUUUCUCUGACAACUGCUGCUCAUGUGAGCAGGAAGGCAUGCAGCAUGAUAUUGCUGUGGGCUGUGCGGGGUCCGAGGGCCAGUAGUAGAUGGAGAGUGGAGGAGAAGGAAGAAAGUGUGUUGACGAGGACAUUUAUGUGGGACACAUCAAAGCAUAUCCAUUUAAUGUGUUGCAGUAACCCAGGAAAUUCAGUGCAGAUGCCAUGAACAACCACCUCAUGGCAAUCCAGAGACUGCAGUACCAUUAGAACAGCAGCUUUCACAAUGCUUGAUUUUUGGAGCUUCAGUGAGAUACUUAUCCCUCUGCUGUCUCAUAUAAGUCCAUUCUCAUUAUUUCAGUUUUCUCUCCAUAAACUCUUCAGAGAAGUCUUGCUGCAUAGUGUGGCAUGCAAAGGGAAGUAAGUAUGCUACAAAUGAGAUAAGCUGUGUCUCUUUCAUAAUCUGAGGGAGCAUAGAAGCAAUUGUUAUAGCCAUUUUUUAUUUGCUCAGAAUGACAUUAAAGGGACCGUUUAAACAUGAAGAUAGCAAAUUAUGUAAAUCUGUACCUGGGGGGAAGUAGCAAGAGAUUUUUUUUUUCCAUGUGGGUAGAUACUCAUCUUUUUUUUUAUUUUUAUUUAUUUAUUUAUUGAUUGAUUGAUUACUUGAAGUAUCUACCCUCAUGGACAGAAAUGCUGGAUGGAAACUGAAAGUUAGAAAAUGCAAUUUCAGAUGCUCAACUCAGUUCACUGCCCUAAGGGAAAAAAAAUCUAGAAAGAAGUCUAAAAAGCACAAUUGGGAUUUUUCUGCUGUUCCUUCGACCCUUGGAGUUUCUCCAUUGUAAUCAGGCUUCUUCAGCAAUUGGCCAGUCUAAAAAGGCUUUUUCUUUACAUUUUUUCUUCCAUGCAUGAAAUGACAUGCCCAUAUGUUCAUACAAAUAGUUAGGAAUAUUCACACACCCUGUGUAUAUUUUAUUCAGCUACUAUGAUGUCGUAUGAUGUAGGCAUGUGUAUUAGUGACUUAGGUCAACAAUGAGGCUGUUUCUUUUUAAAAAAUACAUAUUUUUAUUUGAUAAAGUAAAAUAAAGAUAAAUAAAACUGUAAACGAAGAGGAAAUUUUAAAAUGCAUUUUAUGAUGUAUAUUUGAGAUGAAAAUAAAAAAAAUAGAAUAUAUUACAAAUAAAUGCUUUAUAUGUUACUAAGCAUUACUGUUGCUCAACAGUUUGUACUGACACCCUUUAUUCUGUUCACCUCUAGUUUUCAUCCAUCUGUGAAGCCUCAGUGUGUCCACGGUAUUUGUCAGUAGAAUCCUCAGUUAGAAUACACUGUAAUCAUGUGGUUCAGAUUCACGUCCCAGAGACAGUCAUACCUCUGCAGCUCUUGAUGAGAAGUUAAACUCAAAACUGAAGGCAACAUAACUCUGUGGUUCAUUGCAGCUUUCUCUAAAAUCUAGACUGGAAUCAAAGACCUGCUUUGACAGAAGCCAUAGUUGACUCAAAUGUGAAGAACUGACAUGUCACAAUCAAUAAAAGCAGCAUUUAAAUACAAAUAUCAACUAAAGUCAUUCAAAGUGUGAGAACACCAGCUCAGAAUGGUGCAAAACUUCAUGGUUUUGAUUAUCGUAGCAGAUCAUUCUACAUUUACUUAAACUAGGCAUUGAUUUUUGAAUGGAUGUCUAUGUACAUAAUGCUAGUUUUUUCUGAAACAUGUAUUUACAUGUACAAAUCAUGUUUCUGCCUAGAAAAAUGUGUAGCUAAAAUAUCAAUAUGUAGUUUUCUGCUGAAUUCAUAGUUAAAUGAUUAAUUAUUCCCUUGGCAUACAGGUAUUUGCUUUUAGUUAUUCCUACCUGUGUUUUUCACUGUGUCUUUUGCAGGUGAAGGUCUUAUAACAAGCGUCACUAUGAAAAACUGCUGCUUUAUGAGCAAUAGAGGUGCACUUAAUAUUAAUGCCUACAGCAAACCAUGAACAAAACAUAUGCAUUCUUUUAAAAAUUGAGAACAGAACUGAACUGUAAAAAGUACUAGCAAUACAUCUUUUGUGGUUGUUGUGACUGUGCACUUCCAGGCCAUUGCCUUAUCUAUUGGAUGUUCUCCAAAAAAUUAAAAAAGGUCUGAAAUGUCAUGUGCUCAUGAUCUGCCCUCAGCUGCUGGACUGAGUCAAGUUGGAUUGUCUAGGCAGUGCUGCAGCGGUGAAGCCCAGAUGCACCAGAGCCGUGAGCAGCACAGUGUUUUCUGUUUGGUGCUCACCAGAAAGGAAUCCAUGUUAGUAACUAGAACUUCACCGCAUCA